UACGAAGGGGGCUAGCGUUGCUCGGAAUCACUGGGCGUAAAGGGUGCGUAGGCGGGUCUUUAAGUCAGGGGGUGAAAUCCUCGGAGCUCAACUCCAGAACUGCCUUUGAUACUGAGGAGCUCGAGUCCGGGAGAGGUGAGUGGAACUCCGAGUGUAGAGGUGAAAUUCGUAGAUAUUCGGAAGAACACCAGUGGCGAAGGCGGCUCACUGGCCCGGUACUGACGCUGAGGUGCGAAAGCGUGGGGAGCAAACAGG
rnacentral:rRNA from 1 species